rnacentral:rRNA from 1 species
GAUGAACGCUGGCGGCGUGCCUAAUACAUGCAAGUCGAGCGAACAGAUGAGGAGCUUGCUCCUCUGACGUUAGCGGCGGACGGGUGAGUAACACGUGGAUAACCUACCUAUAAGACUGGGAUAACUUCGGGAAACCGGAGCUAAUACCGGAUAAUAUAUUGAACCGCAUGGUUCAAUAGUGAAAGACGGUUUUGCUGUCACUUAUAGAUGGAUCCGCGCCGCAUUAGCUAGUUGGUAAGGUAACGGCUUACCAAGGCAACGAUGCGUAGCCGACCUGAGAGGGUGAUCGGCCACACUGGAACUGAGACACGGUCCAGACUCCUACGGGAGGCAGCAGUAGGGAAUCUUCCGCAAUGGGCGAAAGCCUGACGGAGCAACGCCGCGUGAGUGAUGAAGGUCUUCGGAUCGUAAAACUCUUUUAUUAGGGAAGAACAAAUGUGUAAGUAACUAUGCACGUCUUGACGGUACCUAAUCAGAAAGCCACGGCUAACUACGUG